CAAAUCGGUGGCAAUAUAAUUAAAAAAAAAAUCGCCCCUAUAUUUUCUUUCACUUUGCGCGUUCUCUCUCUCUUUCCUCCAUCUCGUGUUCUCUCUCCUCACUCCUCAACUAGAUCUCCCUCUUCUCUCUCUCUUUCCUCUCUCCACCGUGCCGCCGUCCAUUCCUCCCGCUUCCCUCUGUUCUUGUUCACGGUGCGUCAGUCGGUCGGUCCUAGCAACGGCGGCAGUGGCGCAAGGAGCUGAUACAAACCCACCUCUCGUCGUUUCCCCCUCGCGAAAUGAUUUUCCCUUAAGUGGAGCGAACUUGGGUACGGGAUUUAACCCGGGUAUUGUGGCCAUGUGAAGGUUGGGUAUGGUGAUGAGUUUGAUGAUGAUGAGGUAAAGGAUGUCUCUUGAUAAUUUUUCUGCAUUUUCGUGAUAAUCUGACCCUAAUUACAGAAAAAAUUGAACUUGAUAUGGGGCUUAUCGAUUUUGUCUUUGAUAUGUAUAUUCACGUAGGUUUGUUAUGUUAAGAUUUGAUUUAUAUUUGUGAUCAAUGUUGAAUUUUGGUUUUGUCUAUAAAUCACUUAAUUCUUAAGAAAUAGGUAUGUAGGAACUCAAUUUUGGUCGAACAAUUUAAUUUUGAAGUACUGCUUUUUGCUCGUGAGAUUUGUCAAUAUUUUGUGUGUAUAGUAAUUGUUUCUCGCAUAGGUUUGCUGUGAUGGCUGUGAUGUUUGGGAGCAUGCUGAGUGUGCUGAAAUCUGUGGCAAAAAUCUCAAGGAUUUGGAAGAUGCGGAAUAUUACUGCCCUGAUUGCAAGCCAAAGUUUGCAUUUGAGCCAUCAUACUCUGUAGCUCUACCUGAAGUCAACCCAAAACAACCUGUGCCAUCCGAUGAGGUAACUGUUGCGUGCAAUGGUAUGGAGGCAUCAUAUAUCCCAAGCCUUCACUUGGUUGUGUGUAAGUGUGGUAAAUGUGGGACAAGGAAGUAGUCAUUAAGUGAAUGGGAAAAGCACACUGGUUGUAGAGCCAAGAAAUGGAAGCAUAGCGUCAAAGUCAAAGGCUCAAUGAUCCCCUCGCAUCAGUGGGUAGUUGCAUCACAUAUCUAUGCUGAUAAUCGGGCCCCUAUUGAGAAAUUAAAAGAUGGUGAAGCUCCCCUUUUGACAACUUGCAAUCAAAAGCUGCUUAUAACUGUACGAUGAUGGUUGUAGCUCUUAUUGGUGUUCACCCAGCGAAGAAUUAGUCUGGCCAGAAUUAGAUCAGUUGCUUUGGGAUGAGGAUGAUGAAGUUGGAGGAAGUGGCAAAUAUCCAAGCAAAGAAUUCACCAAAUACUACUGUAAGGGCUCACAGUGAAGAAGGUACUGGACAACCUGAUAACGGGCUUAAUGCUGAUUGAGAAUUUGCCUAAAAAAUCAUGUCGUUCAUGCCACUUUGUUUUUCGAGGAAUAUUGUAAUUUUACAGCUUUUUUAUGAAAAACAAUGUAAGUUAAUAUAUAUGUAAGUGUUUAUAUAUCA